GGGCGGGGGUCACUCCUCUUUGGGGGGAUGGGAGAGAGAGAGUACCUUGAGCAGCGAGACCUCCCUAUGGAUGCUCGUCCGGGAUACAAGCUUGUGAACUGAUUGAGGAACUGAGACUGAGAUCCAAGAGUCUCUCCACAGGUGAACAGGAAGAAGGACUGAAGGGCGACCAUGAGGAGAUUCCUGCUGUGGCUCCUGCUGCCCCUGUGGUGCACGAUGAAGGACGCAAGUAGUGUGCCAUGUAAAAGGGAGGAUUGGAUACUAAUAGGGCCAGUCGACUGAUCCUAGACAGCUUAAAGGAUCUGUCAAACUCUAUCCACCUCAGUGGAUAUAACAAAAUACUUGGGUCAAGAAUUCAGCAGCCUGUUAAUAAAUGGUACCCAAAUAAAGGAAUUGGAGGAAAGUUGUUGAAAUGCAGGGCAAACCUUGCCAUCACUACACA